UCUCUCCUGGAAACGGGUGGUAAUGCCGGAUGCUCCAGUUGAUCGCAUGGUCUUCUGGGAAAGCUUUCGCGGUAUGGGAUGGGGUCGCGUCCUAUCAGCUUGACGGCGGGGUAACGGCCCACCGUGGCUUCGACGGGUAGCCGGCCUGAGAGGGCGACCGGCCACAUUGGGACUGAGAUACGGCCCAGACUCCUACGGGAGGCAGCAGUGGGGAAUAUUGCACAAUGGGCGCAAGCCUGAUGCAGCGACGCCGCGUGAGGGAUGGAGGCCUUCGGGUUGUAAACCUCUUUUAUCGGGGAGCAAGCGAGAGUGAGUUUACCCGUUGAAUAAGCACCGGCUAACUACGUGCCAGCAGCCGCGGUAAUACGUAGGGUGCAAGCGUUAUCCGGAAUUAUUGGGCGUAAAGGGCUCGUAGGCGGUUCGUCGCGUCCGGUGUGAAAGUCCAUCGCUUAACGGUGGAUCCGCGCCGGGUACGGGCGGGCUUGAGUGCGGUAGGGGAGACUGGAAUUCCCGGUGUAACGGUGGAAUGUGUAGAUAUCGGGAAGAACACCA
rnacentral:rRNA from 1 species